GUUCUUUUUGCUGCUAUUUUCAGUGAGGUCUAUUUAAUUGUCUGUCUACUCUUUGCUAUUAGGAAGAAACAAAGUUGGGUUUUGUACAUUUCCUUUUAUGACUUAUACUCUGGCUAGAAGUAAAUGAUUGGGCACAGUGAUCAGAUUUUCUACCUAGAUGACGAUGCUGAAUGAAGAUAACGAUAGACUUCCUCUCACCCUGUGCCCUCUGUUCCUCGUGCUUCUGAUGCACUAACUGGGACCUUGGGAAGAUGGGCCAGAGCAGCGGGGGCAACAUCCUUGCAGCUUGUCUGAUGUUGGAGGAUUUGAUUGUUACAAAAAUGUGUUAUUACUGAACUUGGUAAAAAAGUUUGUCAUCAUGUAUAAACCGAGAUGGUUAUUAACUACGAGUGUUUUACCGGCUUGUGUGUCUGUGUACAACAUGAGGCCAGAAGAGUGCGUGUGAUCCCCUGAAACUGGAGCUAGUUGGUUGUCAGUUGACACGAGAGUGCUGGGAACUGAACUUGGGUCCUCUGGAAGAGGAGCAAGCACCCUUAAUCACUGAGCCUUCCCCGUAGCCUUAACUUCUAUUUUGUCUGUAAUAAGCCGAGGUAUGUGUUGGCAGUUAACCUCGUGACCCAGUAGAUGGCCCCAUACACAUUCACACAGGGUCAGCACUGAUUGGACUCCGGAAGCUAUUUGUUAUAGGAAGUCAUCAGGGAGGUGGGUUGGUAGGGCCUGGAAGAGGUCAAAGGAAAUAAUAGAGGAUGUGUACAUGCGUGAAAUUGUCAAAGAAUAAAUAAAAAUAACAAUAUUGGAUGGGAGAGAGGGCUCAGCACUUAAGAGCACUGGCUGCUCUUCCAAAGGAACAAUCGUCUGUGAUCCGCGGUUCCAAGGGAUCCGGUGCCCUCUUCUGUCCUCCAAGAGUACCAGGCAUGCAUGUGGUCCACAGACACACAUGCAGGCAAAAUGUUCAUACACAUAAAAUAAACGAUAGAACAAAAAAACAUUAAAAAUAAGUGUACCGA
rnacentral:lncRNA from 1 species